rnacentral:rRNA from 1 species
UACGUAGGUGGCAAGCGUUUGUCCGGAUUUACUGGGCGUAAAGAGCGCGCAGGCGGUCGUUCAAGUCGCGUGUGAAAGCCCCCGGCUCAACUGGGGAGGGUCACGCGAUACUGAUCGACUCGAAGGCAGGAGAGGGAGUGGAAUUCCCGGUGUAGUGGUGAAAUGCGUAGAUAUCGGGAGGAACACCAGUGGCGAAGGCGACUACCUGGCCUGUUCUUGACGCUGAGGCGCGAAAGCUAGGGGAGCAAACGGG